CAACACGAAACAACUUUUACAAGAAUUGAUGACUGACAAAAAAAGAUAAACAAUCAAAUUUCCAUUUUGGUCAAGCAAGCUACACAGACGCAGACAGGUGAAAUUUUAUGAUCCAUGGUUUAAAAUUUUUGCUAUGAUAAAAUACUAAUGACUACAAAAUCAUAUAAGUAAAAAGUUUAAUUUAAUUAAUUAUUAAUAUAUAUAUAUAUAUAUUUUUUAAAUUAAACUAUAAACCAUAUAAAAUAAAUAAAUAUUUUAGUUUCAAAAUAUACUUUGAACAAUUUUUUUUGAUAAAAGCUUUGAACGAAUAUUGACAACUUAAUUUUUUAAAAUUUAUAAAUUACUAAAACUAUUAAUCCCACAAUCAAAAUUUUGUUAUCAGUAAUUUAAAGUUUUUGUUAUUAAAGAUACAAAUGAUCAAAAACCAUAUGAGUAAAAAGCAUCAUUUAAUAGACAUUAAUAUUAAAAAUAUAAUAUGUAUUUUAAUAUCAUUUAAAUUUAAUUACAUAUCCUAUGAAAUAGAAAAAAAAAUUAUUGUUUAGAUUAAUAAAAUUGAUUUAUAGGGCACCAAUUUAAUUAUAUAUGUAAUAGUUAUUGACUUUUAAUUUUUCAAUAUAUAUUUAUUAUUUUAUAAUAUAAAUAUUUAUAUAAUGUUCAAAGGGAAGAUCUUAACCUAGUAUAGAAGUAAGACGUAUAUUCUACAUAGCCACGAGCACGGCCUUGAUCUUUUUAUAAAACCAAGUAAACUUGCUUAAAUGAAGUUGUAGAUNNNNNNNNNNCAGUCACUAGAUUACUUUAUUGAGCCUUUCAAAAUUUAAAGAGCGACUAUUUCCUUAUUUCCUUUAAACAAGUUCAUUCAUACAAAGCAACACGAAACAACUUUUACAAGAAUUGAUGACUGACAAAAAAAGAUAAACAAUCAAAUUUCCAUUUUGGUCAAGCAAGCUACACAGACGCAGACAGGUGAGAUGUAACAAGCGAAAAGGUAAGAGGCUUCUGCUUCUUGUAUUCAUUGUACCGCAAAAAGAAGUAACCCAAAUAAUCAAACUCAAUUGGAGACAUCCUUGCCUG
rnacentral:lncRNA from 1 species